rnacentral:lncRNA from 1 species
AGUGUUACUUUUUUUGAUUUUUUGGGUUUUAGUUGUAAGGACUGAGAUUUUUGCAGUGUAGCUAAACUCUCAGUUAACGAUGUUUUUGUGUGUAAUUUAAUUACAAAAGCACUCGUCAAGUUUCGGGCGAAAACGAGUUAAAACGGAAAUUCUACGCGAUUUCUAAGUUUCACUUAAAGUGAAUAGUAACUCGAUUUUCCGGAGAAGCCACGGUGAGAAGUUGGCUUCUGGCUCGUACCGGACUCUGUUUAUAGCAGUCCAAUAGCUCGUUUCGACCGGUUCAGCUAUUCUGGAACUAAUGGCGUUGACGGUUUUUGGUUUUGACGCACGGAUUUCGAGAAAAUCCAAAAAUACAUGUUUUAUAUGUAUUUAUGUGUGUGUUUCCUUCUAUUCGAAGAAGGUUGGACUUUGUCGUGAAUCCGUGGUCGAUCAAGACGAAACGAAAUUGCAGCUUUGUUGUCUCCAAGGUGCUGAUCGCACCGGUGCAAUCCGUUCGCAAAUCGGACGGACGGAUCUGCGGAGAUCGCACGUUGAUCGAGGAGAGGUCGGUAGUGGCAAAACGGUAUUUUCGCGAAAGUCGCGAUAUUUUAUGUACCGUUUUGCGUGAGAUCGCACGUGGAGGGUCGUUCACGCGUUUUAGUCGCUCGGUGAAGGGCUAGGAUUGAAAUUCUGAUGUUUGAGGGGCUUUCUUGCGAGUUGUACCUUGUUUAUAUAGCGGUUCCUAGGGUUUUGAUCCCCUAACCCUAACCCUGGCUACUCUAGUCGCCCCAGCCACCUUCAUCUCCUUCCCCUGCACCUGCUGCGCGUGCCCAGGCCACCGCCGACCGAGCCCCGGCCGGCCAACUGCCGCCGCAGCCACCACUUCUCUCUCUCUCCCUCACCUUCUCCCUCCUUCUCUCCUCUCGGGUUGUGAGGAGACCC